CAAAAAUAAAGUCCCGGAGCACCAUCAGACAGUAAUAAUUUGCAUGAAUCAGAGAGCUGUGUGUGGCCCAGUAUUCUUUGUAAAAAUUAGGACAUUCUCAGUAAAAGGAGAAGAUAACAAUCAGCUUUACCUUCAGAAUGAGACUACAAGGAACAUACUCUAGGGGAAAAGAAGAGAGACAGCUGGUUCCCACUGUACCUUCAGAGAGUGCUCAGAAGCCCAGGAAAGGAAGUUUCAUUGUUGAAUUGUUUGGGCAGUGGUGAAGCCGCCUGUGCAAAAUUAUGACUGAGACAGUGAAAGAGAUCUAACUUAAUCGACUCCAUCUUGCUUCUAACCUCCUUGCUGUCCUUAUUCAUUCCUGGGUGUAGGCGGAACUAACUUUGGGAGAAACUUACAGUUUAUAGUUUAAAACAAGGAUGAUAAUAGCCCUUUCCCACAGCAGACCUCCUUCUUGCCUGGUGACUAGAUUGCCUUUGUAGGACUAACAUUAGCCGCAAGAUUAGAAAUUAUAGUUAAGAGUCAUGCAGCUGGAGGCUACAAGAUUCUGACCCUCCCUAAACUUCUCCUAAAAUCAGUGCUUGAGAUAUUCUGCAGACCCUGCACUUGAUGGGUCAGCUGGCACCACCCAGAUCAAUAAACUGGCUCAUCUGAUCUGGUGCCUCCCAUCCAGGAACUGACUGUGCAAGAAGACAGCUUCGACUCCCUGUGGUUUCAUUCCUGACCAAUCAGCACUCCUGGCUCACUGGCUUCCCCCCGACCCGCCAAGUUGUC
rnacentral:lncRNA from 10 species